rnacentral:rRNA from 1 species
GACGAACGCUGGCGGCGCGCCUAACACAUGCAAGUCGAACGAGCGAGAGAGAGCUUGCUUUCUUGAGCGAGUGGCGAACGGGUGAGUAACGCGUGAGGAACCUGCCUCAAAGAGGGGGACAACAGUUGGAAACGACUGCUAAUACCGCAUAAGCCCACGGUGCCGCAUGGCACAGAGGGAAAAGGAGCAAUCCGCUUUGAGAUGGCCUCGCGUCCGAUUAGCUAGUUGGUGAGGUAACGGCCCACCAAGGCGACGAUCGGUAGCCGGACUGAGAGGUUGAACGGACACAUUGGGGCUGAGACACGGCCCAGACUCCUACGGGAGGCAGCAGUGGGGAAUAUUGCACAAUGGAGGAAACCCUGAUGCAGCGACGACGCGUGGAGGAAGAAGGUCUGCGGAUUGUAAACUCCUGUUGUUGGGGAAGAUAAUGACGGUACCCAACAAGGAAGUGACGGCUAACUACGUG